AUUGAACGCUGGCGGCAGGCUUAACACAUGCAAGUCGAGCGGGGUGAUGGUGCUUGCACUAUCACUUAGCGGCGGACGGGUGAGUAAUGCUUAGGAAUCUGCCUAUUAGUGGGGGACAACAUCUCGAAAGGGAUGCUAAUACCGCAUACGUCCUACGGGAGAAAGCAGGGGAUCACUUGUGACCUUGCGCUAAUAGAUGAGCCUAAGUCGGAUUAGCUAGUUGGUGGGGUAAAGGCCUACCAAGGCGACGAUCUGUAGCGGGUCUGAGAGGAUGAUCGGCCACACUGGGACUGCGACACGGCCCAGACUCCUACGGGCGGCAGCAGUGGGGAAUAUUGGACAAUGGGGGGAACCCUGAUCCAGCCAUGCCGCGUGUGUGAAGAAGGCCUUAUGGUUGUAAAGCACUUUAAGCGAGGAGGAGGCUCUUUUGGUUAAUACCCAAGAUGAGUGGACGUUACUCGCAGAAUAAGCACCGGCUAACUCUGUGCCAGCCGCCGCCGUAA
rnacentral:rRNA from 1 species